AAUAAGGCUUCAUGAUGAAAAGUGAAUUUCAGGAGAUUACUGGCAGCAGAGACACGAAAAAAAAACCGAAACUGAUUCGGGUCGGGUCAUAAGCUGCAAAGCGGAUCCCUAAUUUUGAUAUAUGCACAUAAAAUUAUUAGACAGAUUCCCCAAUUGUUUUUACAGGGAUGUCCCAGUACUUGUGCAAUCAUAAACAGCCUUUGAUACUC
rnacentral:sRNA from 1 species